UACAGAGGGUGCAAGCGUUUAAUCGGAAUUACUGGGCGUAAAGCGUGCGCAGACGGUUGCGUAAGUCAGAGGUGAAAGCCCGGGGCUCAACCCCGGAAUUGCCUUUGAGACUGCAUCGCUAGAAUUGUGGAGAGGUAAGUGGAAUUCCGAGUGUAGAGGUGAAAUUCGUAGAUAUCAGGAGGAACACCUGUGGCGAAAGCGGCUCACUGGACCAUAACUGACGCUGAUGCACGAAAAGCUAGGGGGAGCAAACAGG
rnacentral:rRNA from 1 species